rnacentral:rRNA from 1 species
AUGGAUCAGUACGAGGUGCUGGAGCAGAUUGGGAAGGGCUCCUUUGGCUCUGCGCUCCUGGUGAGGCACAAGGUUGAGAAGAAGAGGUACGUCCUGAAGAAGAUCCGGCUCGCCCGUCAGACCGUCAGGUGCCGUCGAUCCGCGCACCAAGAGAUGGAGCUCAUCGCAAAAGUAAGGAGCCCUUACAUUGUGGAGUACAAAGAUUCUUGGGUGGAGAAGGGGUGCUAUGUGUGCAUCGUGAUCGGUUACUGCGAGGGAGGGGACAUGCUAGAGGCCAUUAAGAAGGCUAACGGCAACCAUUUCUCGGAGGAGAAACUCUGUGUGUGGCUUGUGCAGCUGCUGAUGGCGCUUGAUUACUUGCAUGCCAAUCAUAUCCUUCAUCGAGAUGUCAAGUGUUCAAAUAUAUUUCUUACAAAGGACCAAAAUAUACGGAUCGGUGAUUUUGGGCUGGCCAAAGUAUUGACUUCUGACGAUUUAGCUUCGUCAGUUGUAGGAACUCCCAGUUACAUGUGCCCUGAACUUCUUGCCGACAUUCCAUAUGGCUCCAAGUCCGACAUAUGGUCGCUAGGAUGCUGCAUCUAUGAGAUGACUGCGCUGAAGCAUGCAUUCAAAGCAUUUGAUAUGCAGACACUGAUAAACAAGAUUAACAAGUCUGUUGUCGCCCCUCUACCGACUAUAUAUUCUGGUGCAUUUAGGGGACUCAUCAAAAGCAUGCUGCGCAGAAAUCCAGAUCACAGACCGAGUGCUGCAGAUCUGCUAAACCAUCCGCAUCUUCAGCCCUAUGUGUUGGAAAUCCAAUCGAAAUCAAGUCUGGCUCCCAAUAUGUUCCCAGCUAUACUUCCUAACAAACAUGAAAAAAACAAGACUGCGUGUUCUGAUGAUGAAGACAAUUGCAAACCCCAAUAUGUUAAGAGUCAUUCAUUUAAAGUACAUAGGAUUGUGGAACUUGUCAAUGCCACCGCUAACCAUGGCCGUCCUCAGUCUACCAGAACAGCAAAAGAUUGUUCAAAACCGCUUCAUCAAGAGAUGGUUCAGUUACCAGUCCAGGUCACCAAGGAAGUUGUCAAAGAAGCGAUGCAUGAUAAACAUUCAAAAGAAACAAGAUCACCGGCACGCACUCCACGAAGGGCGUCCUCGACUCCUAGGAGACGGCUAGAACCUGCAAAAACAUUUCAUGCUAGAACAGCUCACAAAGAGGAGCAGCAGCAGCCUUCCCCAUCAAGGUCUUCAGAAGACCAGACAAUACAAGCUACACGGCGAGCAUCACUUUCCCCACACAUGUUCAAAGCUCCUGAGAAGAAGCGACUCGUCGACAUUCUUACCAGAUUGAAGUCUCCUGAUGUAUCAGUUAACGCACCUCGAAUCGACAGAAUUGCUGAAUUCCCACUGGCAUCGUCUGAAGAUCCAUUGUAUCCCAUCAUGAAGCUCUUGCCACCAUCUAUCACUGACAAAUCAAUCACCAAGGACAAAUGCACUUUCCAAGUGCUCCGAGGGGACGGUGAAAGCCACACCAACACUCGUGAUCUGAACCUGCUCAGUAUCGACAAUAAUCAACUCGGAAGUUCGUCUGAUUGGAGGCAGAAGAGGUUCGACACGACAUCCUACCGGCAGCGAGCUGAGGCUCUAGAGGGCUUGCUUGAGUUCAGUGCCCAGUUGCUCCAACAAGAGAGAUUUCAGGAGCUGGGGAUCUUGCUAAAGCCUUUUGGACCUGGGAAGGCGUCUCCAAGAGAGACAGCCAUAUGGUUGUCAAGGAGCUUCAAAGAAACGGGAUUAUAA